GAUGAACGCUGACAGAAUGCUUAACACAUGCAAGUCGACUCGAGUCUUCGGACUUGGGUGGCGCACGGGUGAGUAACGCGUAAAGAACUUGCCUCUUAGACCGGGACAACAUCUGGAAACGGGUGCUAAUACCGGAUAUUAUGGUUUUUUCGCAUGGAGGAAUCAUGAAAGCUAGAUGCGCUAAGAGAGAGCUUUGCGUCCCAUUAGCUAGUUGGUGAGGUAACGGCCCACCAAGGCAAUGAUGGGUAGCCGGCCUGAGAGGGUGAACGGCCACAAGGGGACUGAGACACGGCCCUUACUCCUACGGGAGGCAGCAGUGGGGAAUAUUGGACAAUGGACCACAAGUCUGAUCCAGCAAUUCUGUGUGCACGAUGAUGUUUUUCGGAAUGUAAAGUGCUUUCAGUCGGGAAGAAGUCAGUGACGGUACCGACAGAAGAAGCGACGGCUAAAUACGUGCCAGCAGCCGCGGUAAUACGUAUGUCGCAAGCGUUAUCCGGAUUUAUUGGGCGUAAAGCGCGUCUAGGCGGCAAGGAAAGUCUGAUGUGAAAAUGCGGAGCUCAACUCCGUAUGGCGUUGGAAACUGCCUUACUAGAGUACUGGAGAGGUAGGCGGAACUACAAGUGUAGAGGUGAAAUUCGUAGAUAUUUGUAGGAAUGCCGAUGGGGAAGCCAGCCUACUGGACAGAUACUGACGCUAAAGCGCGAAAGCGUGGGUAGCAAACAGG
rnacentral:rRNA from 1 species